GAUGAACGCUGGCGGCGUGCCUAAUACAUGCAAGUCGAGCGAACGGACGAGAAGCUUGCUUCUCUGAUGUUAGCGGCGGACGGGUGAGUAACACGUGGAUAACCUACCUAUAAGACUGGGAUAACUUCGGGAAACCGGAGCUAAUACCGGAUAAUAUUUUGAACCGCAUGGUUCAAAAGUGAAAGACGGUCUUGCUGUCACUUAUAGAUGGAUCCGCGCUGCAUUAGCUAGUUGGUAAGGUAACGGCAUACCAAGGCGACGAUGCAUAGCCGACCUGAGAGGGUGAUCGGCCACACUGGAGCUGAGACACGGUCCAGACUCCUACGGGAGGCAGCAGUAGGGAAUCUUCCGCAAUGGGCGAAAGCCUGACGGAGCAACGCCGCGUGAGUGAUGAAGGUCUUCGGAUCGUAAAACUCUGUUAUUAGGGAAGAACAUAUGUGUAAGUAACUGUGCACAUCUUGACGGUACCUAAUCAGAAAGCCACGGCUAACUACGUG
rnacentral:rRNA from 1 species